rnacentral:rRNA from 1 species
AACGAACGCUGGCGGCAUGCCUAACACAUGCAAGUCGAACGAGACCUUCGGGUCUAGUGGCGCACGGGUGCGUAACGCGUGGGAACCUGCCCUUAGGUUCGGAAUAACUCCCCGAAAGGGGUGCUAAUACCGGAUAAUGACUUCGGACCAAAGAUUUAUCGCCUUUGGAUGGGCCCGCGUUGGAUUAGCUAGUUGGUAGGGUAAAAGCCUACCAAGGCGAGGAUCCAUAGCUGGUCUGAGAGGAUGAUCAGCCACACUGGGACUGAGACACGGCCCAGACUCCUACGGGAGGCAGCAGUGGGGAAUAUUGGAGAAUGGGCGAAAGCCUGAUCCAGCAAUGCCGCGUGAGUGGUGAAGGCCUUAGGGUUGUAAAGCUCUUUUACCCGGGAUGAUAAUGACAGUACCGGGAGAAUAAGCUCCGGCUAACUCCGUG